GAUGAACGCUGGCGGCGUGCUUAACACAUGCAAGUCGAACGGAAAGGCCCAAGCUUGCUUGGGUACUCGAGUGGCGAACGGGUGAGUAACACGUGGGUGAUCUGCCCUGCACUUCGGGAUAAGCCUGGGAAACUGGGUCUAAUACCGGAUAGGACCACUUCUUGGAUGUUGUGGUGGAAAGUUUUUUCGGUGUGGGAUGAGCUCGCGGCCUAUCAGCUUGUUGGUGGGGUAAUGGCCUACCAAGGCGUCGACGGGUAGCCGGCCUGAGAGGGUGUACGGCCACAUUGGGACUGAGAUACGGCCCAGACGCCUACGGGAGGCAGCAGGGGGGAAUAUUGCACAAUGGGCGCAAGCCUGAUGCAGCGACGCCGCGUGGGGGAUGACGGCCUUCGGGUUGUAAACUCCUUUCGCUAGGGACGAAGCGUUUUGUGACGGUACCUGGAGAAGAAGCACCGGCUAACUACGUG
rnacentral:rRNA from 1 species